GAAGAAGCUUGCUUCUUUGCUGACGAGUGGCGGACGGGUGAGUAAUGUCUGGGAAACUGCCUGAUGGAGGGGGAUAACUACUGGAAACGGCAGCUAAUACCGCAUAACGUCGCAAGACCAAAGAGGGGGACCUUCGGGCCUCUUGCCAUCGGAUGUGCCCAGAUGGGAUUAGCUAGUAGGUGGGGUAACGGCUCACCUAGGCGACGAUCCCUAGCUGGUCUGAGAGGAUGACCAGCCACACUGGAACUGAGACACGGUCCAGACUCCUACGGGAGGCAGCAGUGGGGAAUAUUGCACAAUGGGCGCAAGCCUGAUGCAGCCAUGCCGCGUGUAUGAAGAAGGCCUUCGGGUUGUAAAGUACUUUCAGCGGGGAGGAAGGGAGUAAAGUUAAUACCUUUGCUCAUUGACGUUACCCGCAGAAGAAGCACCGGCUAACUCCGUGCCAGCAGCCGCGGUAAUACGGAGGGUGCAAGCGUUAAUCGGAAUUACUGGGCGUAAAGCGCACGCAGGCGGUUUGUUAAGUCAGAUGUGAAAUCCCCGGGCUCAACCUGGGAACUGCAUCUGAUACUGGCAAGCUUGAGUCUCGUAGAGGGGGGUAGAAUUCCAGGUGUAGCGGUGAAAUGCGUAGAGAUC
rnacentral:rRNA from 1 species